GACCAGACUCCUACGGGAGGCAGCAGUGAGGAAUAUUGGUCAAUGGGCGGGAGCCUGAACCAGCCAAGUCGCGUGAGGGAAGACGGUCCUACGGAUUGUAAACCCCUUUUGCCGGGGAGCAACGGGGUCCUUGCGAGGGCCCGAUGAGAGUACCCGGAGAAAAAGCAUCGGCUAACUACGUGCCAGCAGCCGCGGUAAUACGUAGGUGGCGAGCGUUGUCCGGAAUUACUGGGUGUAAAGGGAGCGUAGGCGGGAUAUUAAGUUGAAUGUAUAAACUACCGGCUUAACCGAUAGAAGCGUUCAAAACUGAUAUUCUUGAGUGAAGUAGAGGCAGGCGGAAUUCCUAGUGUAGCGGUGAAAUGCGUAGAUAUUAGGAGGAACACCAGUGGCGAAGGCGGCCUGCUGGGCUUUAACUGACGCUGAGGCUCGAAAGCGUGGGUAGCAAACAGGAUUAGAUACCCCCGUA
rnacentral:rRNA from 1 species